UUGGGAUUGUGGCAAGGAGUUUCUGGUGAUGGCUGGUUAUGAAAACUUGAAGAAACAAAAUAAUGGCUUUUUUUAAGUGAAGAACUAAAAAAACAUUGAACUUCCAGGCCAGUUUUUGGAUAAAAGUCUAUAACCAGGGAGGGAAAUGGAAUACUGGAACAAAAAGCUGCCUGUGCUGAGACAGCAGUUGCUGAUACCACAAACACUUGUCUGCUGUUUCUGUGGCCUGGCUGAGCCAAGAAAACAUGUUAAAGCACAGAGCCCACGCAAGACAGUGUGCUUGCAGGAGACCCUACCAACAGGAAUCGGAUAACAAGGAGCUAAAGGUAAGGAGGAGUCAGAGCUGAACCCAGUGCCCUCUUCCCAGCAGUUGUAAUGAACUGUGGCUACCUUGGUG
rnacentral:lncRNA from 1 species